UAGUCUCUAAGGUGCCACAGGUACUCCUUUUUCUUUUUGCAGAUACAGACUAACACGGCUGCUACUCUGAAACCUCUAAAUUCACUGUAACUCCUUACUUUUAUAAUGUUUAAAAUGACUAUCCUUUAAAAUCUGUUUUGCUGGACCUGCCUCAGAGAGGCCAACUGUACAAUUUGAGAACCAGUUUUCUAGAAGGACUUAAUAACUUAAUAUGAGGAUCCAGUCCUUCUGAAGACCCUAUGGGUGGUUUUAGAGACAACAGCUUAUAUGUUAUCAGGUGGAACUGGAGAAAGUCUCGCUUCUCUUAAUUGGGAGACACGGUACUUUAGCAGAUAUAGGACACCUUCAAAUAUUUUGUGGAAUAUGAAACAUCCAUGCUUUUUGAACUGGGAUGUUUAGAGCUGUUGUCUCUAAAACCUGUCUGAAACAAUAAGCCUGUUGGAAUGAUGUUUAAUAAUAUAUAGGGACACCAUUUAGUUGUUUGAGUGUGAAGUUUCUUAAUCCUCCUUUUCUAGUUUUCAAUGUAGGUCUGAAAAUUAGACAGGAGUAAUUCUGAACCUUGCACCUGAGAAUGAACUUUGGUUUGAAAGUAUAACAAAUACACUUUCAACAGGGUAUAAAUAAAAUCUGUGUACAGUCUUGGAGCCCUAUAUUUUCAUCUCCCUUAUGUGGACCCGUUAUUCAAUUGGAACUUUUAGGCCCUAGGCUGCAAAUGAAAUUGCAGUUAUGGUUAAGAGUAUAUGUGCAAAAUUUCUACACAGAAAAUAUAAAAAUUUGUAGUGUUCUCACAGUGUGCGGAAGAAACAUUUAAUGAGCACACAGGUAAUACUCUAAGAACUCUGUGUAGUCUGCUAGGGAACUCACUGCAGAUUUAAUUUAUCUGGGAAAAGUGUAAAUAGGCACUAUAGAAAAUCCUUAAAUUUGGGUUUGUCUAAAUAUGAAAAUUAUUCCAGAUUAAGAUAGGCUGUGAAUUUAAAGACCAAUAGCUAUUCCUGAAUAACAUUAUGUAUUGGUAUCAGAGGGAUAGCCGUGUUAGUCUGGAUCUGUAAAAGCAGCAAAGAGUCCUGCGGCACUUUAUAGACUAACAGACGUAUUAGAGCAUAAGCUUUUGUGGGUGAAUACCCACUUCAUCGGAUGCAUGUAGUAUUCACCAACGGAAGCUUAUGCUCCAAUAUGUCUGUUAGUCUAUAAGGUGCUAAAAGACAUUAUGUAUUGGUGUUUCUUAAUCCAGUUCCAAAGUGGAUUAAGAUAAUUUGGAAAAAGACACUCCUAUUCCGGAAUAACUACUGCAUGUAUAGAUAAAUUCUGAGACUAGAGAGAACUAAUGAGAAUUAGAGGUUCGCAAACUCCCAAACUGAUAGAUACAUUUUGCAGUGUCUAUGGAAGCAAAAUAGGGUCUCCAGUGUCCUGGACUAUGCUUUCAAAUAAAAAAAUAAAAUAAUUUGCAAAUAACAAAGCGCGCGGGGCACUUCCGGGAUGGGGGAGGGGCUCAAUGUUCAUACUUUUAGGUUUAGAGGAUUGAAAGGCGAAAAGAGGCGCUUGUGAUUCAAGAAAAUAUAGUAGAACCUCAGAGUUAUGAACACCAGUCGAGCUGACAGGUGAAUUACAUACAUACCUCAUGUGGAACUGGAAGUACCCAGUCAGGCAGCAGAGACAAAACAAACAAAUGCUUGUACAGUAUAGAGCUCUGUUAAAUAUAAAAUUCUAAAAAAAGGGAAAGUU